rnacentral:tRNA from 1 species
GGGCGCAUAGCUCAAUUGGCAGAGCGCUUCGUUUACACCGAAGAGGUUCUAGGUUCAAGUCCUAGUGCGCCCA